GGACCCGCACAAGUAGUGGAGCAUGUGGUUUAAUUCGAAGAUACGCGCAGAACCUUACCAACACUUGACAUGUUCGUCGCGACUUUAAGAGAUUAAAGUUUUCGGUUCGGCCGGACGAAACACAGGUGCUGCAUGGCUGUCGUCAGCUCGUGUCGUGAGAUGUUGGGUUAAGUCCCGCAACGAGCGCAACCCUCACUUUUAGUUGCCAUCAUUAAGUUGGGCACUUUAAAAGAACUGCCAGUGAUAAGCUGGAGGAAGGUGGGGAUGACGUCAAGUCCUCAUGGCCCUUACGUGUUGGGCUACACACGUGCUACAAUGGCACUUACAAUGGGAAGCAAAGAGGUGACGUUAAGCAAAUCCUUAAAAGAUACCUCAGUUCGGAUUGCACUCUGCAACUCGAGUGCAUG
rnacentral:rRNA from 1 species